rnacentral:lncRNA from 1 species
GUCCUACUUCCUGUAAACACACAGUCCAGUUCAUAGUGAAUGAUGGAAGGUCCUACUUCCUGUAAACACACAGUCCAGUUCAUAGUGAAUGAUGACAGGUCCUACUUCCUGUAAACACAGAGUCCAGUUCAUAGUGAAUGAUGACAGGUCCUACUUCCUGUAUGAUGGCAGGUCCUACUUCCUUUAAACACACAGUUCAGUUCAUAGUGAAUGAUUGCAGGUCCUACUUCCUGUAAACACACAGUCCAGUUCAUAGUGAAUGAUGACAGGUCCUACUUCCUGUAAACACACAGUCCAGUUCAUAGUGAAUGAUGGAAGGUCCUACUUCCUGUAAACACACAGUCCAGUUCAUAGUGAAUGAUGGAAGGUCCUACUUCCUGUAUGAUGGCAGGUCCUACUUCCUGUAAACACACAGUCCAGUUCAUAGUGAAU